rnacentral:rRNA from 1 species
UACGGAGGGUGCAAGCGUUAUCCGGAUUCACUGGGUUUAAAGGGUGCGUAGGUGGGUGAGUAAGUCAGUGGUGAAAUCUCCGGGCUUAACCCGGAAACUGCCAUUGAUACUAUUUGUCUUGAAUACUGUGGAGGUCAGCGGAAUAUGUCAUGUAGCGGUGAAAAUGCUUAGAUAUGACAUAGAACACCAAUUGCGAAGGCAGCUGGCUACACAAAUAUUGACACUGAGGCACGAAAGCGUGGGGGAUCAAACAGG